UCUAAAUCAUUUAAACCAAUAUUGGUGAAAUUAAUUAACAUUUUAUCUGGUUAUCUAGAUGGAGAAGAAGCCUGGCAUAGAGGAAGAAAAAAACAGAUUUGGAGCCAGAAAGUUCUGAGAUCUAGUCCUGUUUCUGACAUAUAUUGACUGUGUGACCCUGGAUAAGUCACUGAAUCUCUCAGUGUCCCAGAAAACCUUAUACAUUUUCUACAGAGAAGGCCUCAUUCUACAUUAGUCUUCUCCAGUGGCCUUCUGAAGACUGUUUCCACAGAGGAAAAGAAAGUAUAUCUUAUGUUUGCAGUCCAGAACCUCUAUACUUUCUACCUUUU
rnacentral:lncRNA from 1 species